ACUUCUUUAUCACCGAGUGCUUGCACUCACCGAUAAAGAGUUGAGUGGCGAACGGGUGAGUAACACGUGGGCAACCUGCCCAAAAGAGGGGGAUAACACUUGGAAACAGGUGCUAAUACCGCAUAACCAUAGUUACCGCAUGGUAACUAUGUAAAAGGUGGCUAUGCUACCGCUUUUGGAUGGGCCCGCGGCGCAUUAGCUAGUUGGUGGGGUAAAGGCUUACCAAGGCAAUGAUGCGUAGCCGAACUGAGAGGUUGAUCGGCCACAUUGGGACUGAGACACGGCCCAAACUCCUACGGGAGGCAGCAGUAGGGAAUCUUCCACAAUGGGCGAAAGCCUGAUGGAGCAACGCCGCGUGGGUGAAGAAGGUCUUCGGAUCGUAAAACCCUGUUGUUAGAGAAGAAAGUGCGUGAGAGUAACUGUUCACGUUUCGACGGUAUCUAACCAGAAAGCCACGGCUAACUACGUGCCAGCAGCCGCGGUAAUACGUAGGUGGCAAGCGUUAUCCGGAUUUAUUGGGCGUAAAGGGAACGCAGGCGGUCUUUUAAGUCUGAUGUGAAAGCCUUCGGCUUAACCGGAGUAGUGCAUUGGAAACUGGGAGACUUGAGUGCAGAAGAGGAGAGUGGAACUCCAUGUGUAGCGGUGAAAUGCGUAGAUAUAUGGAAGAACACCAGUGGCGAAAGCGGCUCUCUGGUCUGUAACUGACGCUG
rnacentral:rRNA from 1 species